GAUGAACGCUAGCGGCAGGCCUAAUACAUGCAAGCCGAACGGCAAGUUUGAUAGCAUUAUUGGACCUCGAGUGGCGCACGGGUGCGUAACACGUAUGCAACCUGCCCGCGACAGGAGGAUAGCUCCCCGAAAGGGGAAUUAACCCUCCAUAACACCUUGAGCAGCCAUCUGAUUAUGGUUAAACCGCAAGGGGUCGCGGAUGGGCAUGCGGUUGAUUAGCUAUUUGGCGGGGGAAAGGCCCACCAAGGCGGUGAUCAAUAGGGGUUCUGAGAGGAAGGGCCUGAAAACGGGAACUGAGAUACGGGCAAGACUCCAACGGGAGGCAGCAGUAGGGAAGAAUGGACAAGGGUUGCAAGACUGAUCCAGCCAGGCCGCGUGAAGGAAGAAGGCCUUCUGGGUAGUAAACUGCUUUUGCCUGUGGAUAAAAUACCCGUGCGCGGGGAAUUGAAGGUAACAGGGGAAUAAGCCACGGCUAACUACGUG
rnacentral:rRNA from 1 species